CAAUAGCGUAUAUUAAAGUUGUUGCGGUAAAAAAGCUCGUAGUUGGAUUUCUACCGAAGAUAGCCGGUCGGGUCUUCGACCUUGUAUCUGGUUUUGUCUUUGGUAUCCUCAUAGGGAACGUUUCUGCGCUUUAUUGCGUGGUGCGGUAUCUAUGACUUUUACUUUGAGGAAAUUAGAGUGUUCACGGCAGGCAAACGCCUUGAAUAUAUUAGCAUGGAAUAAUAACAUAGGAUCUUCGUCCUAUUUUGUUGGUUUCUAGGUCUAAGAUAAUGAUUAAUAGGGAUAAUUGGGGGCAUCUGUAUCAACGCGUCAGAGGUGGAAUUCUUGGAUUGCGUUGCGACAAACUACUGCGAAAGCAUUUGCCAAGGAUGUUUUCAUUGA
rnacentral:rRNA from 1 species